GUUCCCCUACACUCACACUCAUCAUAGAAGAAUCAACAGGCAUAACACGUAACCAAGUUUAUGAUGCAGCUGAGUCUUAUCUCUCAACUAAAGUCACCCCUGAAAAUGAAAGACUCAAAAUCAGCAAAGUCCCAAAAGAGAAAAAACUCACUAUUCGGUUAGAAAAAGGCGAAAAAUUAACCGAUAUUUACAACGGUUUUCCUCUCAAAUGGAGAUUCAUUUGUGCUGAAACUGAGAAAAACAGUGCAAAUGAUAUGCACAACAAUAAUAACAGUGUAUCUGUUAGAUCAGAGAAAAAAUAUUUUGAACUAAGUUUUCACAAAAAGUAUAAGGAAGUUGUUUUGGAUUCUUAUCUUCCUUUCAUUCUUGAUAAAGCUAAAGAAAUGAAAGAUGAAGAAAGAGUGUUGAAAAUGCAUACAUUAAACACUGCUUAUUGUUAUAGCGGUGUGAAAUGGGAUUCAAUAAAUCUUGAACAUCCUUCAACAUUUGAAACACUUGCUAUGGAGCCAGACAUGAAGAAUGUUAUUAUAGAAGAUUUGAACAUGUUUGUGAAGAGAAGAGAGUUUUAUAAGAAAGUUGGUAGGGCUUGGAAACGUGGUUAUUUGUUGUAUGGUCCUCCAGGAACUGGGAAAUCUAGUUUGAUUGCUGCUAUGGCUAAUUAUUUGAAGUUUGAUAUAUUUGAUCUUCAACUUGGUAACAUUGUUAGAGAUUCUGAUCUUAGAAAGUUGCUUCUUGCUACUGCUAAUAGGUCUAUUUUGGUUAUUGAAGAUAUUGAUUGCAGUAUUGAUAUUCCUGAGAGGAGGCAUGGAGAAGGACGUAAACAGCAAAAUGAUAUACAGGUUGGUAAUUCUUACUAAUUAACUUUCAUUAUAAUUCAUUCAUAGCAUUUUAAUUUUUCUACCUAGUAAUUCUAGAAUAACUUAGUUAUAGAAGUAAAUCAAAUUUUCUUGGUUGCAUUUAAGUCCUCUGAUCCAUGGACAUUUCUGAUUAAAGGCGUGUUCCGGCAUUCAAUAUGUAUCGUGUCCGACACCGACACGACAUAAACACUUGUAAUUCCAUUAAAUUAUAUCAUUCUCUCAAAACUUUAUCCGUGUCAACGUAUCCGUGUCAAUAUCAUGUUUGUAUUCGUGUUUCAUAUCAUUUAACUCUUCACUCUAACAUGUUUAUCAGAGUCAAAUGAUUUGUCCUGUUUUUGUUUGUUUAUUAAAAAUAACAUAUCAAUGAAAAUAACUAAUGUUUUUAGAGAGAUUGUUAUUAUAAUUCAAUAACUAAUUUUUUCACAACCAAUUGGAGACCUAUAUAUUUUUUCAUACCAUAUCAAUGCAUUUAUAAAAGUGAAGUGAAGUGAUAAAACAGUGAAUUUUACGUGAAUGUAAAAUUAAUUUAGUGACUACAUUGAAAACAAAGUUAAUGUGUGCUACAUUUUUUAGCUUCUAUAAUUCCACUUUAGAGUUGCUUUAGGACAGGACAAAUGUAAUGCAGCCGCAGGUCCAAGCAUACUAUUACACUAAGAUUGUAUAUUCUUUAAAUAUUUGUUUAUUGAACUGUCAUUUUUUAUACAUAUUAGAAAAUAGAACAUAUAAAGUUAACUACUAUAAAAUUUUAAAUUUUUUAUCAGUAGCAAUGGAAUUCAAUAUCACUAUCAAUGUGACUCAACCACUUGACUGACUAGACCUUAGCGGAUCUAGAAAAAAAUAAUUAGAAGCAAAAGAAAAAAUUAUGACAUGAAAUUAGGAACAAGUUUUAGUUCUUGUUGAUUUUGGCUCUAAUUCACUCAUGUAAUUGAAUGAAAGUUCUCUUUAAUUUGGUUGCUGAUACAACUUUUUUAGUAAGAAAAAGAAUUCCAAUUGUGGAAUAUGACUGUGUUCACACUUCACAAUAGCAAAGUGUGAGUUAUUGGCCUAAAAUGGCAUAUUUUUUUAGUAGCUAGCAUGUGGGUUCUGAUUCAUUGAAAUAUGCAAAGAGACAAAGUAGUAUUGCUUGUCCUUUUGAUUGAGACCUUGACUUGACAGGUUCACAUAAUUUUUCUUAUUAUUGUACAAACUUUCUCUCCUUUAAUUUUCUCUUGCACACAAGUGGAAACUUGUUGUAUUCCAUAGCACACCCUGAAUAGGUACUCGGGACCAUUGAACUAACGUGUAGUUCAAUAAUUGGUUAAGAAAUUUGGUUUAUGUUGAAAUUUAAUUUAAUAUUUUUUACAUUUUUUUCACUAAAGUUGAAUUAAAGUUCUCAAAAGCAUUUACUCUAUGGUAUAUAUCAUCAUCAAGCAAUAUAUUUAAGCAUAAAAAACUUACUUCCAAAAUGCCAUUUCACUAUCAAUCCACGCAAUUGCUUUAGACAAUACUUUAUCUUUAUUGUUCUUCUACUUUGGUUUGUCCCUUUCUGUUUUACAUAAAUAGCAAGAGGAAAAAUUGACAAUACUUGCUGUCAAAGGUCUUUGUUAUUGAAUGGUGGAAACCUCAUGGGAUGAUCCUUCGUGUAAAACUUCUAUUUUGGUCUUGUCAUUUUCAUCAAAGAUAUUCCGUGGAUAUUUAUAUAAUUUAAUUCAUAUAUAUUUGAUUUGAUUAUAGUUAUUCUAGAGUAACAUAAAUAAUUGAUUGUGAUCUUAUUUUCUUACAUAGAUAGUGUAUUCAAAUUAAUUAUAACUAUUCUAGCCAAUUCUUUUAGAGUAGCUGUAUGUAUGUUAAUUGAUUUCAUUUUUAGAUGAGUUAAAAUUGAUUCGUUACGACAUUUGUCUUGUCGGUCCUUG
rnacentral:lncRNA from 1 species